rnacentral:rRNA from 1 species
UAUGUAGGGUGCGAGCGUUAAUCGGAAUUACUGGGCGUAAAGCGUGCGCAGGCGGUGAUGUAAGACCGAUGUGAAAUCCCCGGGCUUAACCUGGGAACUGCAUUGGUGACUGCAUCGCUCGAGUAUGGCAGAGGGGGGUAGAAUUCCACGUGUAGCAGUGAAAUGCGUAGAGAUGUGGAGGAAUACCGAUGGCGAAGGCAGCCCCCUGGGUCAAUACUGACGCUCAUGCACGAAAGCGUGGGGAGCAAACAGG